rfam:Brassica oleracea var. oleracea cultivar TO1000 chromosome C3, whole genome shotgun sequence
AUACUUACUUCGAUGCGGUUGACUCGUGAUCAUAAGACGAGUGGCCUAUGCUAGUGACUUCCAUUGCACAAUAAGGAAGGGUGCUUAGCUUAAGGUCUUCCCAAGUGGAAGAUCCUGCGUCAUUAUUUGUGGCAGCAAGGGUAUUGGCGCGGCCUCUUCCAUU